rnacentral:rRNA from 1 species
AAUCAACGCUGGCGGCGUGCCUAACACAUGCAAGUCGAACGAGAAAGUGUAGCAAUACAUGAGUACAGUGGCGACCGGGUGAGUAACACGUGACUAACCUACCUUCUUGUGGGGAAUAACCUUCCGAAAGGAGGGCUAAUACCGCAUAACAUCGCGAGGUGAGAUUCCUUGUGAUCAAAGGAGCAAUCCGCAGGAAGAGGGGGUCGCGGCUGAUUAGCUAGUUGGUGAGGUAACGGCUCACCAAGGCAGUGAUCAGUAUCCGGCCUGAGAGGGCGCACGGACACACUGGAACUGAAACACGGUCCAGACUCCUACGGGGGGCAGCAGUGGGGAAUUUUGCGCAAUGGGGGAAACCCUGACGCAGCAACGCCGCGUGGAGGAUGAAGGUCUUUGGAUUGUAAACUCCUUUCGAUCGGGUCGAUGAUGACGGUACCGGAAGAAGAAGCACCGGCUAACUCUGUGCCAGCCGCCGCCGUAAGAC